AUCUAAAUAGCUUAUUUAAGAGCGUGAUAUUGAAGAUAUCAAGGAGAUUUUUUAAUUUUUAGAUA
rnacentral:tRNA from 1 species